CAUAUUGCAGAAAGUUAAUAGUGUCCAAGAAGAAGCAACUCUCAAUGUUUGUGGAUGAGCUACUCCUGUCAGAACUUGUGCUUUCAUAUUCACCCAAAAGCGAACAAGCUUGGAAUCAUAGGCGGUGGGUGAUCAAGUCAAUCUCUGCAAAUUGUUCAAAUUUCAAAGAGAUUUUGGGAAAAGAAUCUGAGCUGGUGG